GAUGAACGCUGGCGGCGUGCCUAAUACAUGCAAGUCGAGCGAACGGACGAGAAGCUUGCUUCUCUGAUGUUAGCGGCGGACGGGUGAGUAACACGUGGAUAACCUACCUAUAAGACUGGGAUAACUUCGGGAAACUGGAGCUAAUACCGGAUAAUAUUUUGAACCGCAUGGUUCAAAAGUGAAAGACGGUCUUGCUGUCACUUAUAGAUGGAUCCGCGCUGCAUUAGCUAGUUGGUAAGGUAACGGCUUACCAAGGCAACGAUGCAUAGCCGACCUGAGAGGGUGAUCGGCCACACUGGAACUGAGACACGGUCCAGACUCCUACGGGAGGCAGCAGUAGGGAAUCUUCCGCAAUGGGCGAAAGCCUGACGGAGCAACGCCGCGUGAGUGAUGAAGGUCUUCGGAUCGUAAAACUCUGUUAUUAGGGAAGAACAUAUGUGUAAGUAACUGUGCACAUCUUGACGGUACCUAAUCAGAAAGCCACGGCUAACUACGUGCCAGCAGCCGCGGUAAUACGUAGGUGGCAAGCGUUAUCCGGAAUUAUUGGGCGUAAAGCGCGCGUAGGCGGUUUUUUAAGUCUGAUGUGAAAGCCCACGGCUCAACCGUGGAGGGUCAUUGGAAACUGGAAAACUUGAGUGCAGAAGAGGAAAGUGGAAUUCCAUGUGUAGCGGUGAAAUGCGCAGAGAUAUGGAGGAACACCAGUGGCGAAGGCGACUUUCUGGUCUGUAACUGACGCUGAUGUGCGAAAGCGUGGGGAUCAAACAGGAUUAGAUACCCUGGUAGCCCACGCCGUAAACGAUGAGUGCUAAGUGUUAGGGGGUUUCCGCCCCUUAGUGCUGCAGCUAACGCAUUAAGCACUCCGCCUGGGGAGUACGACCGCAAGGUUGAAACUCAAAGGAAUUGACGGGGACCCGCACAAGCGGUGGAGCAUGUGGUUUAAUUCGAAGCAACGCGAAGAACCUUACCAAAUCUUGACAUCCUUUGACAACUCUAGAGAUAGAGCCUUCCCCUUCGGGGGACAAAGUGACAGGUGGUGCAUGGUUGUCGUCAGCUCGUGUCGUGAGAUGUUGGGUUAAGUCCCGCAACGAGCGCAACCCUUAAGCUUAGUUGCCAUCAUUAAGUUGGGCACUCUAAGUUGACUGCCGGUGACAAACCGGAGGAAGGUGGGGAUGACGUCAAAUCAUCAUGCCCCUUAUGAUUUGGGCUACACACGUGCUACAAUGGACAAUACAAAGGGCAGCGAAACCGCGAGGUCAAGCAAAUCCCAUAAAGUUGUUCUCAGUUCGGAUUGUAGUCUGCAACUCGACUACAUGAAGCUGGAAUCGCUAGUAAUCGUAGAUCAGCAUGCUACGGUGAAUACGUUCCCGGGUCU
rnacentral:rRNA from 1 species